GGUUUUUUGAAUUUAACUAGAAAAUCAGGCCUGCCCACUGAUAAAGGGCUGCAGUAUUUUGACUGUACAAAGGUAGCAUAAUCAUUAGUCUUUUAAUUAAGGACUGGUAUGAAAGGUUAGACGGGGAUAAGCUGUCUCAAUUAUAAAAAUAAAUUUUAUUUUUAAGGAAAAGAGCUUAAAUUUAUCAAGGGGACGAGAAGACCCUAUUAAAUUUGAUAUAAUAAAUUAUUUUUAAUUGUAUAAAAGAAGUAAGUGUAUAUUAGUUUUACUGGGGCGGUGUGUUUAUAACUUUAUUAUGUUUUAAUUUAGUAGAUAGCGGAUUUUUGAUCCGAAAGGAUCGAUAUUAGAUAAAAUUACUAUAGGGAUAACAGCGUAAUAUUUUUUGAGAGUUCUUAUUGACAGGAAUGUUUGCGACCUCGAUGUUGGAUUAAGAAGUCUUAUUGGUGCAGUAGUUUUUGAAGAAGGUCUGUUCGACCUUUAAAUUCUU
rnacentral:rRNA from 1 species